UUCUAUUCAAUUUUGAAGCAUAUCCAUCGCCACUUGUAAAACUAGUCGACCACAUUUUGCAAACUAAUCAUCUUGGAUGCUUUCAAGUUAACAGUAUAAAAUGUUCUAUUUGUCGUUUUGUACUGGCAGAAUAAAAAAGAUAAUGAAACUUCUUGGUCCAUACCUUAGAUCAUGUGGAUUUCGCAAAUUGGCUCAAAUGUGACCAAUGUAUAUUUCAAGUACAGCCAUGGUUUAGCAGACCACGAAGAACAUGGCCUCCACCCGAGAUCGUUUCCAAAAUAAUAUCUUUUGGGGUGUUAAUUGUCCCAAUUGGCUGCAAAGGAUCCAUAAAUGAAAAUCUUGAAUGGCGAAUUUCCUUUCCUGUACCAGAAAAGUUUCU
rnacentral:lncRNA from 1 species